rnacentral:lncRNA from 10 species
CCCUCCUCCUGGCUGUGGCUAUUGGUUGAGAGAUGGGCAAGUAACCCAAUCAGCACAUAAGACGCAAGAAUAUUCCUAGUGUUUCUGGUAGAGCAAGGUUUCUCCUAUCUUCCAUGGAAGCUGUUGGGAGAGACCUUCAUUGUUUCCCUGAAGGAUGUGGUAUAAAAUUGGAAUUUUGCUACCAGGAAGGGAUAGCCUGGAACUGCUCGAAGUGGGAGGACGGAAUGUUCUACAAGGAGCCUGGAGGUCAGACAGGAGCGAUGGGAAGGAACAAGGUCCUUGUGACAUCUUUGGAGCCGCUGGACCAAGCCUCACGUGAUGCUAACACUACCUCCACUCAAUAAACUCCCCAGGAGGUAAUCAAUUAGACUUGGGUUUUCCUGUCACUUGCAACGCAAAGCAUUCUAAUGGAAACUCCCUGAGGCCUAAACAAAGACUGGAUCAGACAGGAGAGCUCAGGAAUCAGGAAGACAAAAUUCUUUCAAAGGGUGUGGGAACUGGGAAAUACCCAUCGGCCCACCUGGUGCUGGGAAGACUUCAGAAAAAAGCCACCAAGGCAGAGAGCGUAGAUGAAUUUUUUGUCCUCAAAUGUUUCCAUGCAGGACACUGUCACAUGGUGGAGGACACACGUAUGAGCAAGACAGCCCCUGCAGCCAGGAGCUGCUUCCAGAUACCAGACUAUGAGUUACCCAGAACCCUAUCUCCCUUCCACCAAUGGGAGCUGGCAGGAGGAGGAGAUGGACAGGAAACUUGGAAAACUCAUUCAUUCAUUCAUUCAUUCAUUCAACAAGAAAGUAUGACUCCACCCCAGGCACUAUUCCAGUCACUGGCAGUACAGAAGAGAGCAAAGACAGGCCAGGGGCCAUUUGACAGCAUCUUCAGAAACCCCCACAUCAUCUAGACCCUGGGCUUCCCACCCGCCAGGCCAGGCUCUUCCUGCUAGUCCAUGCUGCCUCCUGGGGCUGCCAGUUCUUCAACCAGGCCCACGGGGCACCCACUUGCUGGCUGAAUUUCUCCCCCUGCAUCCCAGUUCUCCUCCAAGUUGGAAGAAGUCUUUGUGGUUUGGAUGAAGGAAGGGAUGAGGAGGAGGGGGACAGAGCAAAGUGUGUUUGCUGGCACCAGAAUCACAGCAGAAGCCAGUGCUGGAAACCUUCCCAAGUAUUUAGAAAUUAAAAUAAUAAAAGAAAACUGAGCAUAUGGAGUUUGUAAAGUGCUGUCCAUCUUCAAGAAGGGAUACAGCUUACUCAGAGUGCAUGGGAGAGCAGGUCGGAGUGAACGUGUCUGUGGGGUAGGGGCGAACACUCAGGCUCUCGGGUAGGAUGAGGGUCCCCAGGCUAGGCUAGCCCAAGAGGCAGGAGGAGUGUGGGAAUUCCCUUUAAGCUGCACUUUUAAAGAAGGAGAAAGAAUAUCCUCUAUGGCCCCUCCCUAACUUCACAGGCGUCCCCAGUCCUUCCCAGCCCAGGGAACGCCAACUCCCCAGCUCGACUCUGAACCAAUCUUCAGUUCUUUCUCUCCACAUCCAAAUUCUCAGCCCAAAUGCCACCUCUUCAAAGAAGCCCUCUCUGGCCACCUCAUCUGGAAGGCCACCCCUCCAGGUACUUUUUCAUCACUCUGUGUAUUUCUGCACGAACCUAUCACUAUCUAAAAUGACCACGGCCCAGUGUGGUAGCUCACGCCUAUAAUCCCAGCACUUUGAGAGGCCGAGGCGGGAGGAUCAUGAGGUCAGGAGUUCGAGACCAGCCUGGCCAACAUGAUGAAACCCCGUCUCUACUAAAAAUACAAAAAUUAGACGGGCAUGGUGGCACAUGUCUGUAAUCUCAGGUACUCGAGUGGCUAGCCAACCUGGUAAAACCCCAUCUCUACUAAAAAUACAAAAAUAGGCUGGGCAUGGUGGCGGGCACCUGCUACUGGGGAGGCUGAGGCAGGAGAAUUGCUUGAACCCGGGAGGUGGAGGUUGCAGUGAGCCGAGAUCAUGCCACUGCACUCCAGCCUGGGUGACAGAGUGAGACUCCGUCUUAAAUAAAAUAAAAUAAAAUAAAAUAAAAUAAAA